UACGGAGGGGGGCGAGCGUUAUUCGGAAUUAUUGGGCGUAAAGGGCGCGUAGGCGGCUGAACAAGUCAAAGGUGAAAUCCCCUCGGCUCAACUGAGGAACUGCCUUUGAAACUGUUCGGCUUGAGGCCGGGAGGGGGUAGCGGAAUUCCCCAGUGUAGCGGUGAAAUGCGCAGAGAUCAGGAGGAACACCGAUGGCGAAAGCAGGUACCUGGACCAUUACUGACACUCAGCUGCGAAAGCUAGGGGAGCAAACAGG
rnacentral:rRNA from 1 species